CUCUCGCUUUCUCUCAGAGACUCACGCACAGAGCAGCCGCAGAGAGGCAGGCACCGCUAGGAAUCCCUAAUCCCCAAUUCCCAAACUGUCCCACAGUCGAGCAGGGAGCACAGGAGCAAGCCGCCGCCGCCGGCGAACCGACGGCGUCUAUCCUCUCUCACCGGAAUCCCUGUAUCUCACAGCCACGGUUCAGCCCCUUGCUUUCCUCCCUUCCCCUGACUCUUUGCACCUGCUCACAGAUGACAUCUGCUCGGGCUCGGCCACGCCGUCGUGCUACUGGCCUGCGGCUUGCCGAACCACUCCUGGCGGCUGGCGCAUGAGCAGAUCACUGGAUGAGCUCUCCUAGUCUCCAGUCUCCUACUGUCCUCCAAGAGUAGAGCAACUGUCAGAAGCAAGAGGUAAUCAUGGGCAAGGAAAAUCAAUCUCAGAGAAGAAUUGAUUUGGUUUUUAAAAGGAAAAGAGAUGACAUAACUCGAGUUCAGGAAAACCAGAUAUUGCCGUUGCUUGAAUUGGAACAACAUAACCAAAACCAGUAGGAAUAGGUUCGAACAAAUGAAGCUGUUACAUUCCAAGGUAUUGAGUUCUUGCAGCGAGACCCUGGAAGAUGAGAAUCUUGCCAAUAAUCUGUUAGUUCACAUAGAGGGUGGAAUUCUAGAGAACUACAACCACGAAGAUGUCCUUGCAGAUUUUAGAAGCAAGGGUGACCGGAGAGUUGAUUUGUAGUAUGUGAGUAAGUCACAUGUCUAAUGUCUCAAAGCUUUUGUAUUAGCUAACUUAAUAGUGGUUCAGGGUUAAAAUGUAUUUUGCUGUAUAUAUACAUACUGCUUGCUCCAUCCGGUAAUCAUACUGAUGCUUAUGAUUCAGAAUUUCAAAAAAAAUUGUGCUCUUGUUUAGUCUGGCCCGCCCAGCAUUUUCUUUCAAGCUCCGCCACUGCCUGCACGAGCACCUCCUUAGAGAGGUUGUUGAGCAGGUAGCCAAGAACCUGCUGGUCCUCUCUGACCCAGAUUGGGUGGAGAGGGUUGGGCUCAGAUGUUUCCUUCUCGUCUUUGUCCUUGGUGACGAGGUAUCUGGCCGGCUCCAGUGAGGAGCCAUCGGCAUAGCCGAAAACUCCUGCACCUCUCAUCUGUGGCACGAUCUGCGCGCGCCACAAGACGUAGUUGGUGCGGGUAAGCUUCUCUGUUACUUGGUGGUUGAGGUUUGGCUGAGAUGAACCGGAGGAAGACAUGGCUGGCACUAAUGACGAUGAGGAGAGCUAGAUGCAUAGGAAGAGGAAGGCUCUGUAUACCAUGUGCGAUGGCGGAAACGUCUUACCUCGGUACGAGGGGACGUGUUGCGUGUUAUAUAGCAGGGGCGCAGAUCCCUGAUAGCGCAUACAUACGGUUGGAGAGAGAAUCGGGAGUACAACUUGAGGGAGAAGAAAAGAGGAGGAGAUCAAUUUAGUUACAUUAGAAUAAGGGAACUCAUAAGAUAUGCCUAGACUAUCUCCUAAACGACCUGCAGGAUCUCCCUGUCACGUACGCCCACAUAUACACGCAUGCAUGUUUGUCAGACCGAUCCGACCAACAAGCUAUACUCCUUUGCUCCCAAUCAAUGGCCGUGGCACUUCCCCUCCUGCCUGUGCUUGAAGCCGUCACAAUCACAGCCAAAGCAAACAUGGGCAGAACCAACUUCCGAUGGUGUGAAGUCUAUGCAUGUUGGUACGUGUCAGUUGGCUCAGGGUUUUUCUCUUGAUGCCUGUGGCGAACAACAAAUACAACUGCAUGCUCAUCAUUCCAGAAAAAUACACAUGCAGAAGUUUAUUGUAUGCUUUUGUUGUAGUGAACAAAUGAAUCACCAAUACAUAUCGCAUCUACAACUUGAUGAACCGGAACCCCGAGCAGUCGAGCACCAUACACCAGAUUUUGUGUGCACUACUGUGGACCGGACUGAGCGUGUAAAUGUGUAAUCGAGGUCGACUAUGAGGUUGUAUAUGUCCUCGAUGACGACCGAUAUGGCGAUAUCUGGACUACAUCAUCAGUUAAUCCAUGCUCCUCCCGCGCGGAGGAAGGAUGCUUGCGUGCGACAUGAAGCAGGGCAAGCUUAUGAGCGACUUCACGAUUCCUGCAUGGCCACAUAGAGUCGGUGAGCAUGAGUGGACAUAGUUUUACAGGAAAAGUAUUCGGCUAAGAAACUGGUACUGGAAUGAUUGGUACUGUUAUCUUUAGGGGACCGGCUAGGCGACAGUCGACUGAAAAUUAUAUUUAGGCCAGUCGCUUUUUUUUGUCUAAUCUCAUGCCCGCACUCUCUCUCUCUCUCUCUCUCUCUCUCUCUCUCUCUCUCUCUCUCUCUCUCUCUCUCUCUCUCUCUCUCCGCGCAUCAGAUGUCUCCACUCUUGUUUUCUGUUGAUUGACUUGGGGCGUCUAUUUUCAGCUGGGUCAUGAUGUGCUCUUUACGAGUGGCCCAGGAGUACUUAACUACUCCGGUCCUUUUUCCUAUAACUGCAGGGCGGCGCCAUGAGAGCUUCUUUAGAUCGAAACUGAAUGGAAAAGAAGAUAAGGAAUAGUGGCCUACUCACAUGGGCCUCCUAGGCCUAAGAUAUGGAUCGAAACUGAAACGGUAAGUUAAGUAAAUUUUUUAACAGUCUGGGCCAAACGACAAGCACAAGUAGUGUGGGCUGCUAGAGCUUAUGCACAAUGCCAAGCUACAAAAGUUCUUAUACCACUAAAAAAGCUACUCCCUUCGAUCCAUAUUAUUUGACGCUCAAAUGGAUGUAUCUAUUACUUGUCGCUCAAACGGAUGUAUCUAUCACUGAAAUGCGCCUAGAUACACCAGUUUGAGCGACAAGUAAUAUGGAUAGGAGGGAGUACAAAAGUUCUUUGGCUACAAAAGGUAAAAAAAAAUCCUCUCAGUGAUUGGCUUGCUUUCAUCUCGCGCUAGAAACCCAAACGUAGUCUACUAGUACUAAUAUAGUAAAAAGAUAAUUUACUUGCUUUCAUCUUAGGAUGUUUUUAUAUGGGCUGCAGUUAUUUAUUUUUAUUUACAUGCAUGUAAUACCCAUUGUACAAAAAAAAUUAAUUACAAAACUAAACCUUAAGAAGAAAGAAAUUUAAAAAUAAAUUAAAAUUAAAAAAUUGCACACCAUUCAAACAAAAAUGAUCAUUUUAUAAUAUGCAAGAAUAAGCAUAUAAUAGCGAAAUUAAUUAAAAUAAUUUUUUAAGAAGAAAUGAAUUAGUGACAUUGGUAUUACCCUUAAAUAAGAAAGAAAUGAAAAUAAAAUAAAAAUAAUUAAGUUUUCCAACAAAGAAUGAAUUAUCAGCAUUGAUAAUACCCUUUAAGAAGAAAGAAAAUGAAAACUUGGGGUGUCAUAGCGUACCUCUCCGCUUCACCAAUGGGGUUGACAUCGACCAGGUGACCGGCGAUGUCUACUUCACGGACAGCUCCAGGAACUACAAUAGGUCGCAACAUGAGAUGGUCACACGACUCUAGGGGCCACCUUAUUAGGUACGACCCACGGACAGGAAAGGCCGUCGUGCUGCAGGCCGGCAUCACUUACCCCAAUGAGAAGGUUGAGCUCCCCUUUGGCGUCGAUAGCCACCUACUCGCCCUGAGGAUCGAUGGCGACGGAAAAAUAAUCAAGGAGAUGAGAGGACCCAAGGGCAUGAGGCCGACCGAGGUCGUGGAGAGAAAAUGUGGCAGAUUGUUCAUGGGAUCCGUCGAGCUUACUUAUGUGGCAGUGGUCACACGCAAAUAGAUAGACCAAUUAUGGAUAUGUAAACUAAGGCUUUUCGUAGGACUUGCUCUCUUUUUAACUUUCAUUAUGUUAUUGUUUUGUCGUAUAAAGUCAGGUUUUUCUAAGUGGAGCUUUCUAUUGGACAAUGAUCAUGUAUUUUUCACUAUAAAUGUAUCAAAUUAUCUUUUAUUAAGCAUUA